CCUACGGGUGGCAGCAGUGGGGAAUAUUGGGCAAUGGGCGAAAGCCUGACCCAGCAACGCCGCGUGAAGGAAGAAGGCUUUCGGGUUGUAAACUUCUUUUGACAGGGAAGAGCAGAAGACGGUACCUGUCGAAUAAGCCACGGCUAACUACGUUCCAGCAGCCGCGGUAAUACGUAGGUGGCAAGCGUUGUCCGGAUUUACUGGGUGGAAAGGGCGUGUAGCCGGGCUGACAAGUCAGAUGUGAAAUCCGCGGGCUCAACCCCCGAACUGCAUUUGAAACUGUUGGUCUUGAGUAUCGGAGAGGCAGGGGGAAUUCCUAGGGUAGCGGUGAAAUGCGUAGAUAUUCGGAGGAACACCAGUGGCGAAGGCGGCCUGCUGGACGACAACUGACGGUGAGGCGCGAAAGCGUGGGGAGCAAACAGGAUUAGAUACCCGGGUAGUC
rnacentral:rRNA from 1 species